GACGAACGCUGGCGGCGUGCUUAACACAUGCAAGUCGAACGGAAAGGCCCUGCUUUUGUGGGGUGCUCGAGUGGCGAACGGGUGAGUAACACGUGAGUAACCUGCCCUUUACUUUUGGAUAACUUCAGGAAACUGGGGCUAAUACCCGAUAGGAGCUCCUGCUGCAUGGUGGGGGUUGGAAAGUUUCGGCGGUUGGGGAUGGACUCGCGGCUUAUCAGCUUGUUGGUGGGGUAGUGGCUUACCAAGGCUUUGACGGGUAGCCGGCCUGAGAGGGUGACCGGCCACAUUGGGACUGAGAUACGGCCCAGACUCCUACGGGAGGCAGCAGUGGGGAAUAUUGCACAAUGGGCGGAAGCCUGAUGCAGCAACGCCGCGUGCGGGAUGACGGCCUUCGGGUUGUAAACCGCUUUCGCCUGUGACGAAGCGUGAGUGACGGUAAUGGGUAAAGAAGCACCGGCUAACUACGUG
rnacentral:rRNA from 1 species